UACGGGGGGGGCAAGCGUUGUUCGGAAUUACUGGGCGUAAAGGGCGCGUAGGCGGCCAGACAAAGUCGAGCGUUAAAUUCCAGGGCUUAACCCUGGAACGUUGCUCGAUACUAGUCGGCUAGAGUGUGGAAGAGGGUGCUGGAACUCCCGGUGUAGCGGUGGAAUGCGCAGAUAUCAGGAAGAACACCAACGGCGAAGGCAGCUCGCUGGGACGGUACUGACGCUGAGACGCGAAAGCGUGGGGAGCAAACAGG
rnacentral:rRNA from 1 species